rnacentral:misc_RNA from 1 species
UUUCCGUAGGUGAACCUGCGGAAGGAUCAUUACUGAGUGAGGGCCCUCUGGGUCCAACCUCCCACCCGUGUUUAUUGUACCUUGUUGCUUCGGUGUGCCCGCCUCACGGCCGCCGGGGGGCAUCUGCCCCCGGGCCCGCGCUCGCCGGAGACACCCUUGAACUCUGUCUGAAGUUUGCAGUCUGAGCGAAAACUAAAUAAGUUAAAACUUUCAACAACGGAUCUCUUGGUUCCG